CGAACCUGGCUCAUAGAGGGGGAGUAACAGAGAGAAAUUUCUGCUAAUACCGCAUAAGCACACACUGCCGCAUGGCAGAGUGCGAAAAGAGAAUCGCUGUGAGAUGGACCCGCGUCUGAUUAGCCAGUUGGCAGGGUAAGAGCCUACCAAAGCGACGAUCAGUAGCCGAUCUGAGAGGAUGAACGGCCACAUUGGGACUGAGACACGGCCCAA
rnacentral:rRNA from 1 species